GAUCAUGGCUCAGGAUGAACGCUAGCGGCAGGCUUAACACAUGCAAGUCGAGGGGCAGCGGGAUGUAGCAAUACAUUGCCGGCGACCGGCGGAUGGGUGCGUAACGCGUAUGCAACCUACCUUAUACAGGGGAAUAACCUUUCGAAAGGGAGACUAACACCCCAUAGUAUUGAUUUAAGGCAUCUUAGAUUAAUUAAAUAUUUAUAGGUAUAAGAUGGGCAUGCGUAUGAUUAGCUAGUUGGUAAGGUAACGGCUUACCAAGGCGACGAUCAUUAGGGGUUCUGAGAGGAAGGUCCCCCACACUGGUACUGAGACACGGACCAGACUCCUACGGGAGGCAGCAGUGAGGAAUAUUGGUCAAUGGGCGCAAGCCUGAACCAGCCAUGCCGCGUGCAGGAAAGACGGCCUUAUGGGUUGUAAACUGCUUUUACAUAAGACUAACCGUAUAUUUGCGAAUAUACCUGAAUGUAUUAUGAGAAUAAGGAUCGGCUAACUCCGUGCCAGCCGCUGC
rnacentral:rRNA from 1 species